GUGCUCACUUUGGCAGCACAUAUACUAACAUUGGAAGGAUACAGAGAUUAGCACGACCCCUGCCUGCGCAAGGAUAAAAAAGAAACUGUUAACCUGGAACAUUUAUAU
ensembl:snRNA U6 U6 spliceosomal RNA